rnacentral:rRNA from 1 species
UACGUAGGGUGCAAGCGUUAAUCGGGAUUACUGGGCGUAAAGCGUGCGCAGGCGGUUUUGUAAGUUAGAUGUGAAAUCCCCGGGCUCAACCUGGGAAAUGCAUUUUAAACUGCAAGGCUAGAGUAUGUCAGAGGGGGGUAGAAUUCCACGUGUAGCAGUGAAAUGCGUAGAGAUGUGGAGGAAUACCGAUGGCGAAGGCAGCCCCCUGGGAUAAUACUGACGCUCAUGCACGAAAGCGUGGGGAGCAAACAGG